rnacentral:lncRNA from 1 species
AGGGGGACCCCCCCCCGCCCCCAGCCCCAGCCGCUGCAGGCGGGUGAGUGAAGGGCAUCGUGGGGCUGGGCAGGGCUGGGGGCUGCGAGCCCGCCCCGCUCUGCUGCAGGCUCCCCCCCGCCCGGCAAGCUGCAGGCGGCGGCCGCCGCGAGAUCAGCUCCCAGCCCCAGCGCCAGCCGCUGCAGGCGGGUGAGUGAAGGGCAUCGUGGGGCUGGGCAGGGCUGGGGGCUGCGAGCCCGCCCCGCUCUGCUGCAGGCUCCCCCCUGCCUGGCAAGCUGCAGGCGGCUGCCAAGGCGCUUGGUGGCCCUGCGGUGCCAGCAUGCCUUGGCCUGCUCUCUGCUUUGCAGCCGGCCACGCACAGCGUCCCCCCGGCAAGGAGGGCACCAGAGGCCACCCACCUCCUGCUCUGGGCCGCAGCCUGCCACAGGCAGCUCAGCCCCACUUCACUCUGCUCCACCAGCCCACCCCAGCUGGCAGCCACCUCCCAGCCCUGGCGAGCACAGGGCAGCCGGGCUCUCGGUGCCCCCCGCCCGCCCCCGACCACGGCCUCGCUGCCUCCGCCCAGCCGGCAACGCGCCUGCACGCAGGGCACAGCGCUGCCGCCUGCCUCUCCUGCCUCCUACAGCUCUCCCUGCUCGCUCUUUCUCAGGCCAAGCUGCUCCUGCCCCCAGCUGCUUGCCCGUGCACAGAGAGGAGCAGGAAGCCCUCGCGUGCAUCCAGGCCUUUCUCACGGGCCCAACAAGGGAAGAAGCCCACAAGAUGAAGUUUUUGGCCUCUCUCUGCACUCUCAGCCGCUUGGCCGGCGCCCAGAGCCGUGGCCAAGGCAGCCCUGCUGGCAGAGCCGCCCAGGCUCGCAGCGGGCCUGGGGCCACGGCCACGGCCAUGCUCUCCAAGGCCAGCACUUUGAGGAAGGUGCUCUGGGAGCUGCUCAGCAUGCUGGAGGAGCGGCCACUGCGCAAACCAUUUCUCACCACCAGGGACAGCACUCGCGUCCUUGCCCUGGCCGUGAGUCACCACAGGAGACCUUGCCUGCCCUCAGCACUGGGCUCACCUGUCGGGGGCAAGCGGCAGGUUGCACGCUUCCCCCCGGGCUCCGGCAGGCCGACGGGGCUGUCUCUGCAGGGAGAGCCCACUCUCGCUCUUUUCUGUAGGCAACCAGGGCGCUCUGUGAGCUCCUUCAGCAGUGCAGCCGCUCGCAGGAGGUGAAGGCCUUUUUCUCCCGCCUCUGCCUGGCCCUGCUCUUCCAGAUUGCCUUCACGGCAGAGCUCACGCCGCAAGACCUUGCUGUCUUCCGGAGGCAAUGCCACCGAUGGGACCCGUGCACUCCCACCAGCCCUGUCAGGUGCCCCCUCCCGCUUCCUCCAUCCCUCGCAUGCACCUGGAGCCAGGGCCGGGCUCCCAGUGUGAGCUAGCCUUUGCUCUGCGCACAGCUCUGCAGUGCAGACCCUGGAGUCUCUUUUCUGCUGCGCUGGCUACGAGCAUCAAGCCCUGCUCAUCAGGCAGCAGGGUGGCUGGCACAUGCUUCUCAGCGCUGAGGCCCUGCACUUGGGAGUCAUUGUAGUGGCCAGGUGAGAGCCCUCUUAGGCCAGCUCUGUGCCGCACAGUCCCCUCGCUGUGGGAUGGCAGGGGGGCCCCAGCUCUGCAGGGCAGGGGCUGCAGCCUCAGCACCUGGGAGGAGGGCUUGCACAGCUGAGGGGGCAAGGGGAGCUGCCUGCUCUUGUUCCUGCCCACUUGUGAGAGCUGCUGGAGCAGGAGCUGGUGUUAGCAAGGGUGCGAGAGGGUGCUUGGCAGGACCGGUCACCUCCCAGGGGCCUGCAGUCCCCUGCCUUUGGGACGGCGCUCAGGCCACACAGAUGGCCAUGGCUCUGUGGGCACGCAGUGCCACCAGAGAGAGGGCUCCAGGAACGGGGCAAGAUGCACACGGGCACGUCGGAGGAGCCCAUGGGGACCAGCCUGCCACGUGGGCAGGAAAUGGGCCGUGUCGCUAGGCCGUGACUUUCUGCUCUGGGCGUCUUUCUGCUCUGCCGGCAAAAGGCGCCGGAAGAUGCUGCCCUGGGUGGGCAGUGGUGGGCUGCAGUGGGGAAAGAUGGCCAGUGUGUGAGCAACUGGCAGGGGCUGUGCUAGAGGAAUGCCAAGGCGGCCUUAGCCCGCGUGUCCUGGCCUCUAGGUCAGGGGCUAGACUUAGCAAUGCAAUGGCCGACGAGGU